rnacentral:rRNA from 1 species
GGCGAGCGGGUGAGUAACACGUGAGCAACGUGCCCAAGACUCUGGAAUAACUUCGGGAAACCGGAGCUAAUACUGGAUACGAGACGUAAAGGCAUCUUUAGCGUCUGGAAAGAAUUUCGGUCUUGGAUCGGCUCACGGCCUAUCAGCUUGUUGGUGAGGUAAUGGCUCACCAAGGCGACGACGGGUAGCCGGCCUGAGAGGGUGACCGGCCACACUGGGACUGAGACACGGCCCAG